UACGUAGGGGGCGAGCGUUGUCCGGAAUCAUUGGGCGUAAAGAGCUCGUAGGCGGUUCAGCAAGUCGGCUGUGAAAUUCCGAGGCUCAACCUCGGAACUGCAGUCGAUACUGCUGUGACUCGAGUCCGGUAGAGGAGAAUGGGAUUCCCGGUGUAGCGGUGAAAUGCGCAGAUAUCGGGAGGAACACCAGUAGCGAAGGCGGUUCUCUGGGCCGGUACUGACGCUGAGGAGCGAAAGCGUGGGGAGCAAACAGG
rnacentral:rRNA from 1 species